UACGAGAGCCUCGAGCGUUAUCCGGAAUUAUUGGGCGUAAAGGGUGCGUAGGUUGUUCUGUUAGUCUUUUGUUAAAUCCCCGAGCUUAACUUGGGAAUCGCGAAGGAAACGGCAGAACUUGAAAGUGUGAGAGGCGUACGGAACUCAUGGUGUAGGGGUGAAAUCCGUUGAUAUCAUGGGGAACACCAAAUGCGAAGGCAGUACGCUGGCGCAUAUUUGACACUGAAGCACGAAAGCGUGGGUAGCGAAUGGG
rnacentral:rRNA from 1 species